rnacentral:rRNA from 1 species
UACAGAGGGGGCAAGCGUUGUUCGGAAUUACUGGGCGUAAAGGGCGCGUAGGUGGCGGCGCAAGUCCAUGGUGAAAGCUCGAUGCUCAACAUCGAGUCGGCCACGGAGACUGCGGGGCUCGAGCACUGUAGGGGCAGAUGGAAUUCCGGGUGUAGCGGUGGAAUGCGUAGAGAUCCGGAAGAACACCGGUGGCGAAGGCGGUCUGCUGGGCAGUUGCUGACACUGAGGCGCGACAGCGUGGGGAGCAAACAGG